GGAUGGCAGAACAUAUGAAUCGCUAGUCCUGGGAAUCUGUGACGCACACCGAACUUCAGGAAAACGAUCUGGUGUCCUCUUUAGAACCGUAAACGCCUGAUGGUUAUUCAUCAUGCUACGCACUGAGGUGAGCAUGUUUGCCUUUGACGUUAUUCGAAGCACUGCGGGAAGAAAGAAUGUUAGGCGACGUGCUGAAAUGAAGACUUUUUCAGUCUAGGUGCCCAUGGCUUCCACCCUUACAGAUGGAAGAUGAUCUGAAUGGAAGGUGUCAGGAAUUUUGAUGGCCUUGUGAGACCUGGACAGCACUAACUACCUGCCUCCAGGCACAGAAGUUGAGGUGUAGGGUGGUAGCUAAAGGAAUGCAAAGCUCAUCAGGGCUGAGAACGUGUUUCAACAGCAGCCCACAAGCUGCUGAUCACAGCUUUAGCUCCAGAGGCAGUGACUGAACUCAACUAUAGCAUCAGACUCCUCUGCGAUCCUCCCCAUCUCCUCCCUCUCCUCCUCCGUGAGAGGUUACCAAUGGUGCAGAGUGCUCGUAAUGAGAACAUGCUGGAGAUGCUUUGAUGAGGUGGCCUUACUGCUGGAUGCAUGCAUGUGUGUGCCAGUGGGUGUUCCUGAAGCCGUAGGUGUGUGUGUGUGUCUGUUCCUCUUCCUCUCUGGUGACCCGCUGUUCCCAAGAAAGCUGACCUGACUGAAAAAACAAAAGCUGCACUCUUAUUGACCCAAUUCACACUGGUGCAUAAAUCUGAUUGAGCGACAGGUUCUUUUACCUAGCACUUGUUGUAAAGAAUGUACAGUCUGUGUUCAACUUGAAAGAAACCGGAAAUAUCACUCUUAAAAGGGUCUUUGUUUAAUCUCAUAUAUGUCUAGAAGCAUAUUUACCCAAAGUGGUCACGAAAGAGCAUUCGCAAUCCGUAAGAAUCCGAAGAAUUAUCAUAUCUUGCGCUCAUUGGACGCAUCUUAUCUGGAUUCAGAUUUUAUGAGUCUGACUGACAGCAUACCAGACGGUGACAGACAUAUUUGAGAAGUGAUUAACUUUUAUGUGUGAGAAGCACUCUGCUCACAAUGGACUUCACCUUAUCCUUUGCAUUGCACAAGCACCAUGUAACCCCAAGUUAAAACUGCACUAUAGGUCAUGCUUCUCUCAAGAGCGCCGGUGAAAAGUUCAUCUGGGAGACAAAUUAGGGCUGGAAGCAUAAGAGGAACUCGGUACACAUUUGAAAUUGUUCCCAUUCAGAGACAGGAUCAGAUUUGUUUCUUUUUUGUUGACCCUCUUUUUUAAUGGCAGUUCAAACUUUCCUCAGUACAAACACAGGUAGAUUAAAGGUGAUGUCAUGUUUUAUCAUGUUAAAAUACAAUACGUUAUCCAAGUUUAACAUGCAGAGACAACUGUAGGUAAGGUUUGUUGGUUAUCAAAACAUUGCUCUAUUUCAACCGAAAGACAAAGAGACAUUGACUCAACCAGUGGAGUUGACUAUCCACUUAGUUGACACGGAAAUUAUUGGGAAACCUGUCUGAAAUGGUUGUCGUUAUUUUUUCAAAUGGGUUUGGUGAUGCCAGUUUACUUUUGCAAUGUCAGCAAAACAAAAUUUUGUUUGGUGCCGCAACGACGCAGAUUUUGCACACUUAACA